rnacentral:rRNA from 1 species
UACGUAGGGGGCAAGCGUUGUCCGGAAUUAUUGGGCGUAAAGUGCGCGCAGGCGGCCGUUUAAGUCUGGUGUUUAAGCCCGGGGCUCAACCCCGGUUCGCACUGGAAACUGGGCGGCUUGAGUGCAGGAGAGGAAAGCGGAAUUCCACGUGUAGCGGUGAAAUGCGUAGAUAUGUGGAGGAACACCAGUGGCGAAGGCGGCUUUCUGGCCUGUAACUGACGCUGAGGCGCGAAAGCGUGGGGAGCAAACAGG